CCUACGGGUGGCAGCAGUGGGGAAUAUUGCACAAUGGGGGAAACCCUGAUGCAGCGACGCCGCGUGAACGAUGAAGUAUUUCGGUAUGUAAAGCUCUAUCAGCAGGGAAGAAGAUGACGGUACCUGACUAAGAAGCACCGCCUAACUACGUGCCGGAACCCCCGGGAAUACGUAGGGGGCAAGCGUUAUCCGGAGUUACUGGGUGUAAAGGGGGCGUAGAGGGCGAUGCAAGCCAGAUGUGAAAGCCCGGGGCUCAACCCCGGGACUGCAUUUGAAACUGUGUGGCUGGAGUGUCGGAGAGGUAGGCGGAAUUCCUAGUGUAGCGGUGAAAUGCGUAGAUAUUAGGAGGAACACCAGUGGCGAAGGCGGCAUACUGGACGAUAACUGACGUUGAGGCGCGAAAGCGUGGGGAGCAAACAGGAUUAGAUACCCUAGUAGUC
rnacentral:rRNA from 1 species